rnacentral:rRNA from 1 species
UACAGCGGAGAGUUUGAUCCUGGCUCAGGAUGAACGCUAGCGGCAGGCCUAACACAUGCAAGUCGAGGGGUAACGGGCGGAAAGCUUGCUUUCCGUGCCGACGACCGGCGUACGGGUGCGUAACGCGUAUGCAACCUGCCCCGCACCGGGGGAUAGCCCGCCGAAAGGCGGAUUAAUACCCCAUGGUCCCUGGGGCCGCAUGGUCUUCGCAAAAGCCCGGUGGUGCGCGGGAUGGGCAUGCGUGCCAUUACCUGCCGGUGCGGUAACGGCGCACCAUUGUGGCCAUGAUGGCUAGGGGUCUGACAGAUGGUCCCCCACACCGGUACCGAGACACGGACCAGACUCUACGGGAGGCAGCAGAGGAAUAUUGGUCAAUGGGCGGAACCAGCCAUGCCGCGUGCGGGAAGACGGCCCUACGGGUUGUAAACCGCUUCUUCCCUGAAGAAUAACCCCGACGCGUCGGGGGAUGCCGGUACCGGGGAAAAUAAGCAUCGAAGGACCCGUGCCAGCAGCCGCGGUAAUACGGAGGGAUCCGAGCGUUAGUCCGAUUUCCAUUGGUUUAAAGGCGCAGCGGCGGCCCAUCAAGUCAGCGGUGAAUGUGGCGGCUCAACCAGUUUCGCCGCCGCUGAUACUCGCUGGGCUUGAUUCGGUUUGAGGCGGGUGGAAUUGUGGUGUAGCGGUGAAAUGCAUAGAUAGGUCAAUGAGGAACGCCGAUAGCGAAAGGCAAACUCUCGCCGGGCCGCGAUCGACGCUUUCGAGGACGAAAGCGUGGGGAUCAAACAGGAUUAGAUACCCUGGUAGUCCACGCCGUAAACGCAUGAUGAUGGCUGCGUUCGUCCGCAAGGGCGAGCGCCCGGAGGAAACCAUUGGUCAUCCACCUGGGAGUACUGGCCGCAAGGCUGAAACUCAAAGGAAUUGAUUUGGGCCCGCACAAGCGGAGGAACAUGUGGUUUAAUUCGAUGAUACGCGAGAAUCCACCUGGGCUCGAACGCGGGGAUGCCGGAAACGGUACAGCCAGCAAAUACCGCCCGCGAGGUGCCGCUGCAUGGUUGCUCGUCACCGUGGUGCCGAGGUGUCGGUUAAGUCCCAUGAACGAGCGAACCCUCUACCGCCAGUUGCCAGCGGGUGAAGCCGGGACCGCGGGACUGCCGGCGUGUAAGCCGAGAGGAAGGCGGAUGACGUCAAAUCAGCACGGCCCUUGCCGUCCAGGGCUACACACGUGUUAUAAUGGCCGGUACAGGGAUGCGACCCCGCGUAGUGGGGAGCGGAUCCCGAAAGCCGGUCGUGUCUGGAUCGUGGAGUUCGGAACCCGACUCCGUGAAGCCGGAUUCGCCAGUAAUCGCGCAUCAGCCAUGGCGUGAAUACGUUCCUGCCUUGCGGCCACCGCCCGUCGGGUUGCUGGAGCUUUCGGGUACCCAAGUGGACCGCGCAGGUGAGCGCCCCUUAGGGUAAGACCGCGUGACUGGGGCUAAGUCGUAACAAGGUAGCCGUACCGAAGGUGCGCUGGAA